GACGCGGGUGCUCCGUGAGGCCUCAGCACACGCUGAGCCUCGCUCCCAGUGCGACGCGAGGCCCCUUCUCACACGGAUCACUGCCCCCAGGCUCAGCCCCGUGCUGCGCGGGCCCGGCUCACCGGAGCCUGGAGAGCAAGCGCUGUACGCUGGGCUCCUUCGCCAGGGCCAGAUCCUACCCCCAACUGGCAAGUGGAGUGGUGCAGAUAAGUCUGUACCACAUCAUGGGGAUCUUUAUGUAAACUGAGGCUUCUUACCAAGAUAUACUAUGGAACUGAGAUACUACCACACCAGCCAGACUAUCCGCAGUAAAAUAUGUGGAGACCUCAACAGGAGAGAAACAGAUGGGAGGAGUCACUGUUUCUAGCACAGCCCCAAGGCAUCCCUGUUCUCUUGUUCAGGACUCCUUUGGUUACUAUCUCGGCUUUCCAGCUAUUCAGAGAACAGCUUGAUUUUCCUCGCAGACCUGCAGUACUGCCCUAAAUUGGACAGCAAGACUCCUUGGAGAAAGCAAGUAGCUUCAGUCAUGAGAACUGCUCUGCCUGACUAAACAGAUCUUGCAGUGGGCACAACAAGAGGUCAGAAUAGCUCAUUCAGUUCAACUCCCUAAAUAAUACCACCAGGCUUAGAUGGAGAGCCAUAAAUUGGUGGCCUAGCGCACUCAAGAAGCCAACCCAGAAGUAAUCAGCAAAGCUUUCUAUUCAAAUAUAACAACAGUAUCUAGAAAUGGAGAAACAGGAAGCUUUUUAGAGCUUUCAGUCUAGUCCAGUCCCAUGUCUCCCAACAGGCUUUCCGAGUUCCUUUGAUUGGAAAGGGUUUCUUUGUGCUGCAAAGUCCAACAAGGGUUAAUUUAUAUUUGUCUUGGACCUAGCAGUCCCUGGAGACUCUGCUUUGGGAUUGUCCUCUCUCAUUCAUCACACUGGAUUUCCAGCAGUUGGCUUAAGUGAGAAAGAAAAUGAAUAAACAUCCUUUAAUCUAAAAAAACUGCAAUGUGUUAAACUUUGGCGAUUAACUUCAAUUUCUUGCUUGACUUGUUUGAAAGUGAAGCCAGUAGUGGAACUAAGGGUGAAGAGCAGCAGAGGGUGUAUUAUCCAGACAUCUUCCUAGAUACUUCAUUAAAUGAUGGAAGUUAAUGGCAUCUUUAAGGACAUUCACACUGUAUAGACAGAAUAGGUGUGGAUCUAUACUAUAUUACAGACACUGUGCUACUAUUUAUUUCUGUUAAAGUUCAAUCAUUUGCACCUAAUCAUUUUCAAUGAAUGCUUAAUAUUUUUCCUCUUUUAGAAGGAGAAAUGAUUAUUUCCAUAUCUCCCCCUGGUGUGGUAAUGGCAAAACAUUUCAUAAGGAAAGCCUGCAGAUUCAUAUAAUAUUAGUUUCUUAGUUAAAUAAAUAAUUGCAGAUACAUCAAUGAAUUGGAUUUUUCUAUCUUGAAUAUUCAUACAUUAGUGUUCUCACUGAAGUCAAUAAACAGGAUUUUGAAAAAUGGGCCUUCCUCUUGCUUUGUGUUUCAUCCUGGACUUCCACAAAGGCAAUUUCAGGAUAGGGGCCUAAGAGGAAAAAAUGAUGAAGCAGAAAUGCAGAGAAGAAAGAGGAGAGAAAGGAGAUGGAGAGUUUGUUCUUUCCAUUAAUAUUAAACUGUCCAUUUCCCAGCUGCAUGCUCAUGAAAAGGAGACUUCUUGGUGAUUACCUAGUAAUUCAAACCUUACAAACCUACCUCAGAACACACAAAGACAAGGUAAAAAAAGGAUUUUUUUAUUGCAGUUUCAGGAAAUCUGAUCCACAGCAGAGCUUGAAGAAUUCACUAAGCUUUUGAACACAUAUGCAGACUGGUAUCAAUUUCUUUUUUUAUUUCUUCCUUACCAGAUGAACAAUGUAUAUGAACAAUAUAGUGUGUGUGUAUGUGUGUGUGUGUGUGUGUGUGUGUGUGUAAACAUGAGUAACUUUUAUAA